AGAUGGUCCCCGAGUCCCCAAUGAAAGGAUUCCGCAGCGAGGCCUCUAUUAUUAUACCGUAAAUCUUUUUAAAUUCUGGAACUAAUUAUAUAGAGGAUAUGUCUCAAUUUGUUCUGCAUUAAUGCCACAGUGGGGAUAGAGGCCAGGCCGUGGCCAGAGCAGAUACGUAGGCCCAUGAAAUUGAUGAACUGAGAGUUGCUUCCAGUCCUGGGCGCACCAUCUGGAAUUCCAGUCUGAGGUUACAAUUAGAACUCCUGACCCCAGAUUCAACUUUGCAAACAAC
ensembl:misc_RNA Gm56384 predicted gene, 56384